rnacentral:lncRNA from 1 species
UUAAAGGGCAGGGAGCAGUGAAAAUCUCCUCUCUACCUCGAGCUCUACUCACAGACCACUGCAUGGGUGUUGAGGUUCUUGUAUUCCUGCUAGUGAUGACCCUCUACCACAGCCACCAAGUCUGCUCUGUCCAGAGCAUCAAGUGCCAGUGGUGACCACGCUCACAAUUCUUCACCCCACCAUAGCCAGAACAUUCUAGGGAGUUGCUGGCCUGUAUGAAGCUUGUUCCGUAAUCAUCUCAGGUCAGUGAAGCUCACACCAUUUACUACUUGAACUCUACCACCAGUGGCGGACUUAGGAUUUUUAUAUAGGGUGUGCCAUAAUAAAAAUUUCAUAUAGAAUUGUAUCUAAUAUAUAUAUAUCUAAAUUGUACCGGAAGGGGCUUGUUGUUGCUGGACGAUAGGACGAGGCGUGUCAAUGCGUUAUGCACAUGGUGGCUGUAGGCUGGGACUAGCGGGAGCUCAAGCACGCAGCCGCACAGGGCUGUUCAUGGCUAGCUAGGCGUGGGACGCGCGGCGAUGCCGGCGGGUCUGGCAUCUCGGCAGCGGCGUUGGCCCUAGGGUUAGGAGCGGGCGAGCGGCACGGUAUAGCACUAUAGCCAAAGGCACAAGCUGAGGCGGUGUCACAUCGCGAUUGUCCUUGUGGAUUCGUCGGGCAUCGGUACCCUGUCUCCUGCAGUCUUGCUCGUGGAGAUGGAAAGAAGAUGAAGUGCUGAACGCCAAAGCUCCGUGAUCCACUGAUCCUCUCUCUCAUUCAUCCUCAGUCCUAGCGUUGAACGCCAUGAACAGACUAACGGGUGGGUCUUGGUGGGCCUGGCUUAGGGUGUGCCGUGGCCCACCUGGACCCACCUGUAGGGUCCGCCCCUGUCUACCACUAUUGGUUGCCCGGAACUAGGUGUGAAAUUUGCUCAAACAUAGGCUGUCAGGUGUCUAGAUCCCAGACUUAGUGCAGAAGGCUGAAACUAGAUUCUAGUGUGUUGAGCUCCACUUUGGUGCUUCAUAAAAAAAUUGCUCUGAAUGUUUUCAACCUAAGGGUGCUAUACCAAAGUAUUAGAGCUAUAUCUAAGGAAUAACCUUGGUAAUGUGAGCUUGGUCUGUUGCUGUGUAAAAAUUGAAGAAAAGGGUUGGCUAAAGUUGGUCUGUCAGGCUGGACACAUAACUGAAUUUUUAUUUAGUUCUAAGAACUGAAUUGCAGCAGGAUGCCUAGUUUGGAAUUCAUUUGUGACUGAUUCAUGGGGUUUUUGGAUUAAAGUUUCCUUAGCAAAGCUGGAGAUCAUAGUAAAGAGAGCAAGUUUUAUAAAGUGAGGUGGACUUGGUUCCACAUAAAUUUGGGAGUAAAAGUGGCCAAAAGGUGGACUGUCAGGUGUCGGGAUUCAGACUUAGAAUAAUAUUUAAGUAUGAAUUUGUGUGUUUUUAUUCAAUUUGGGUCCUUGUGGUAAUUAAUCCAAGAAGAAUUGGGGUAGGAAUGCUAUAGCAAAGUGAAAGACCAUGUUAUAAGGAACAAAUCCCUUUAAGCAAGUUAGGCUUGAAUCCACAUAAAGUAGGAAAUAACAGCUGUCCAAAACUGGACUGUCAGAGUGACUGUGACUGAAUUUUAUUCAGUUAGCUAAAAUAGCAGUUCAGUGUGGGGGUAACUUUGGGGUACAAUAGAAUUUGCACUGAAUGUUUUCAAUCAUGGGUUGUUAUACCAAGUUGGUAAAGCUAAAGUCGGAGUAUAACUUUGGCUAAAGAAGUUAUGGUCUGUACCAUAUGAAAUUGUGAGAUACCAGGGGCUUUAAUAGGGAGGUGUGUAGAUGGGGCAGCAGGCCUAAGGUAAUUGAGUUCAGGCUUUCAUUUGAAAACUAACGAAGAUCACCCCUGCUGCUCUCACCUGUAUAUGUUAAUGGAAGUGAGGGGAAACGGAGACUGAAUAUUGGUUGUGGUGUUGACUAUGUAAAGUUUUAGUAUCUGAAACUGAAUUCGGUUCAAUUCUUUUUCAGUUACCUGAAUUUGAGUUUUUGUGUUUUCACCUCAAGUUGGUGUUCAACUUGAGAUCUAUUUGGGGUCAGCUCGUAGCCAUUGAAACAAAGAUAAAGAGUGAUUAUAGAGGAACAACUCCUAGUAGGGGAGUAUGUCGAGCCCUCAUGUGGAAUUGAGAGGAAGUAAAGUCUUGUAAUGUUUUAUAGUAUUUUAUUUGCAAACAGCAUAAGCAUAAGCAUUUAUGUUCAUGUCAUUUCAUGUAGAGCUCCCAAAAUAAAGAGUGAAGAUUCAAGAUGAAGUGGUUGCUAAAGAGGAGUCUACUCCAGUGUCUUCUCAUCAAGAGGAUGGAGCUAUCUAAUUGAUGCUUGGGUAGAGGGAUCUAGAACCUCUUCACUGCAACAAAGGCAAGCCCCGGUGCAUGCAACCCCUUUCUUGUGUUUUUAAAUGAUUUUUACACACUUUAAGUCUAGUGAAAUGUGCAUUAGGUUUAUAGGAGUUGCUUGGAAACCCUUUGAUGCAUUGGCUACCUUGAAAUCCAUUCCUUUGAUAGAUACUUCUAGUGAAGUAUCAACUAUGAUUUACAAAAUUGCUUAGCCCUGCUUAGAUCCUACGGAUAGAGGUUGUCCGUUGCAAUAAUGCCUAGCUCAGGGGUUAUCCUGAGGAAGGAUGACUCUACCUACAAGACUAUUUUCAUGGUGGGAUCUUACUGCAAGAUUCCCUUGAAAUUCUAUUCAUCCUAAGGUACACAAAUAAGUCCUAAGGAUGGAAGUACUUAAAUCGAGACUUGGGCUAGGAACAGGUGAUGUUCCGUCCAGGUUCAUUAAGGAUUAUUUCGAUGUAGGCCUGUUGUGGUGGAUACUUUGCAACUAUCCACAUACCCAGGUAUGGGUAAGCUUGAACCCGGCUAUUCCAUACGUGAAAAGACAACCGCAGACUGGGCAUGGGAGAUUGUGGGAGUAGCGUGUACCCUCCUGGCUAGAGGCUGGUCUGAGUAGUACUGUGCUCCCGGGUAGCGCGGACCGGUUCACGUUGUGGAGGAUCUGUGGGAACGAUUGAUAUAUGCAAGGGUUAAGUGCUAGAUAUGUCGUGUGGUUAGGGGUCCCUAGCUAGGUAUAAUCGGUUUGAAUCGUCGGUGCUCCUUGGUUAUGGAGACUCUACCCUCCGACCACUCAUCGUAAGUCAUGGAUGGAAUCACAAUGAGUAAAAAUAUGAUUGUAUUGAUUAAUGGGAUGAUGAAUUUAGACUAGAUGUAAACAAGGUUAAUUAAUACCUAAUCUGGCAUUAAAAUGUUGAAAGUAAGGACUCACUUUUAGAAAGCUUUACUGCAAAAUGUCUAAGUUGAUUCUUGCUAAAGCCUCUCCUUGAUUCCUAAAUCAAGCAUAUCCUUGAGAGUCUUUUUCCUUAGUUGGGUAAGACUUGCGAAAGUACACUUCGUACUCAGGGUUUUCGAACCCAUGUUGUUGCAGGUACUAGAUCUAUGCUGCUGUUGAUGGUGCUAAGUGUCGGUGGGCUCGGCGUUCUUAUAGGUUAAAGUAGCUCUUCUAUACUUCUUUAUGAGGAUGAUCACUUAAGCUAGCAUGUAUUUCAAACUUAUGAAAAUUAUACAUGCUUCAAAGUGAAAUACUUUGGAUUUACUUUAUAAUCACUCUGAUCUUGUAUAGUAUAAUCUUAAUGUAACUUGUAACUUUUUGUAAUAAAGAAAUUUCGCUACAAGUGUUGGUGUGUGAUUUGUGUUUACUUAAUCUUGUGAUCCUGGUUGUAAGUGGUUUAUCUCGGGUCCUUGGGACACAAGGACGGAUCCUGU